GAUUGGCAGGAAUGAUGAAUCAAUUAGAUGUGUGAAGUUACUUUAUGAACUUAACUUUUGAGGCAUAAAUUUUGUCUGACCUGCCGAUC